rnacentral:rRNA from 1 species
AUUGAACGCUGGCGGCAGGCCUAACACAUGCAAGUCGAGCGGAUGAAGGGAGCUUGCUCCUGGAUUCAGCGGCGGACGGGCGAGUAAUGCCUAGGAAUCUGCCUGGUAGUGGGGGAUAACGUCCGGAAACGGGCGCUAAUACCGCAUACGUCCUGAGGGAGAAAGUGGGGGAUCUUCGGACCUCACGCUAUCAGAUGAGCCUAGGUCGGAUUAGCUAGUUGGUGGGGUAAAGGCCUACCAAGGCGACGAUCCGUAACUGGUCUGAGAGGAUGAUCAGUCACACUGGAACUGAGACACGGUCCAGACUCCUACGGGAGGCAGCAGUGGGGAAUAUUGGACAAUGGGCGAAAGCCUGAUCCAGCCAUGCCGCGUGUGUGAAGAAGGUCUUCGGAUUGUAAAGCACUUUAAGUUGGGAGGAAGGGCAGUAAGUUAAUACCUUGCUGUUUUGACGUUACCAACAGAAUAGGCACCGGCUAACUUCGUG